rnacentral:tRNA from 1 species
GGAUCCAUCAUUUAGUGGAAGGAUGUCCGGCUGUCGACCGGAGAGCACGGGUUCGAUUCCCGUUGGAUCCGCCA